rnacentral:lncRNA from 1 species
GUCAUAGCGACUUUUGGGAUAGUUUGCUAUCGACAAAGGGAGACAAAGUCAAGGGGUGAAGGGAAAGGAGGGCCAAGUAGAGCCUCCACGACCCUCGGCUUCCUCCUCACCAGCUCCCCCUCCCUCCAAGUCCAGUAAGAAGUUGGGCCAAGCUGGAAGGGAUUGACCGGGUUGCUUGUCUGGAGAUGGAGCCACUACAGGCGGGCCUGGGCGCCUGGAGUCGGGCAUGAAAGAAAAUAGCGCCUCAUCGCUCUUAUCUAAGCCCAGAGGUCCAGGGGACAACCUGAGGGCCCUGAAGUGUUUCAAUACCAUGUACCAGCUUGACUUCUCUACAUGUCCUUUGGAUUGCCCAAAAGCAAAAUCUCAGAGGGGCCAAGGACCUUCUAGGGCUGGCUCCCUCAGGGCCUCCUAUAGAGCAGCUCCUUGAGUCGGGCCUUAUAGCCACCAGAAAGUCACCUCGCCGCAGGAAAGCUAUAAAGAGCUGCUCCAGAGGCGCCGAAAGAGGGUAGACUUCGCUUGAAAAGAUCGAGAAUGGAGGA